UAUUAAUUAUGUAGAUUAGCACAAGAAUAAAUGUGUGCAAACAUAUAUAUGUAGAAUAAAACCUGAAAAGACUUCUGCCAAUAUAUUUACAACUUAUAGUGGCUUUUUACUUUUUAUUUUUAUCUAUUUAUUUAUUUUUCUGUUUUUUUUUCCAGUACUGGGAAUCAAACUCACGACCUUGCACUUGCUAGACAGGUGCUGUGCCCCUGAGCUAAAUCCCCAGCCGCUACAGUGGCUUUUUACAAAUAAAGGGAAAAAAAAUAAACCCAUUCCCUUAUGGGAUUUCCCGACAAAAUUGAAAAGGAAGUAAUUCACCCAAAAGUUGGAGUGUAAACCAAAGACUUUCACUUCAGU
rnacentral:lncRNA from 1 species